GAUGAACGCUGGCGGCGUGCUUAACACAUGCAAGUCGAACGGCAGCACGGGAGCUUGCUCCUGGUGGCGAGUGGCGAACGGGUGAGUAAUGCAUCGGAACGUACCCAGGAGUGGGGGAUAACUAUCCGAAAGGAUGGCUAAUACCGCAUAUUCUGUGAGCAGGAAAGCGGGGGAUCGCAAGAACUCGCGCUCUUGGAGCGGCCGAUGUCGGAUUAGCUAGUUGGUGAGGUAAAGGCUCACCAAGGCGACGAUCCGUAGCAGGUCUGAGAGGAUGAUCUGCCACACUGGGACUGAGACACGGCCCAGACUCCUACGGGAGGCAGCAGUGGGGAAUUUUGGACAAUGGGGGCAACCCUGAUCCAGCCAUGCCGCGUGAGUGAAGAAGGCCUUCGGGUUGUAAAGCUCUUUCGGCGGGAAAGAAAUAGCAACGGCUAAUAUCCGUUGUUGAUGACGGUACCCGCAUAAGAAGCACCGGCUAACUACGUGCCAGCAGCCGCCGUAAUAC
rnacentral:rRNA from 1 species